rnacentral:rRNA from 1 species
GACGAACGCUGGCGGCGUGCCUAAUACAUGCAAGUAGAACGCACAGUUUAUACCGUAGCUUGCUACACCAUACACUGUGAGUUGCGAACGGGUGAGUAACGCGUAGGUAACCUGCCUGGUAGCGGGGGAUAACUAUUGGAAACGAUAGCUAAUACCGCAUAAUAUUGAUUAUUGCAUGAUAAUUGAUUGAAAGAUGCUAUUGCAUCACUACCAGAUGGACCUGCGUUGUAUUAGCUAGUAGGUGAGGUAACGGCUCACCUAGGCGACGAUACAUAGCCGACCUGAGAGGGUGAUCGGCCACACUGGGACUGAGACACGGCCCAGACUCCUACGGGAGGCAGCAGUAGGGAAUCUUCGGCAAUGGACGAAAGUCUGACCGAGCAACGCCGCGUGAGUGAAGAAGGUUUUCGGAUCGUAAAGCUCGGUUGUAAGAGAAGAACGGGUGUGAGAGUGGAAAGUUCACACUGUGACGGUAUCUUACCAGAAAGGGACGGCUAACUACGUG